GACGAACGCUGGCGGCGUGCUUAACACAUGCAAGUCGAACGGAAAGGCCCUGCUUUUGUGGGGUGCUCGAGUGGCGAACGGGUGAGUAACACGUGAGUAACCUGCCCUUGACUUUGGGAUAACUUCAGGAAACUGGGGCUAAUACCGGAUAGGAGCUCCUGCUGCAUGGUGGGGGUUGGAAAGUUUCGGCGGUUGGGGAUGGACUCGCGGCUUAUCAGCUUGUUGGUGGGGUAGUGGCUUACCAAGGCUUUGACGGGUAGCCGGCCUGAGAGGGCGACCGGCCACAUUGGGACUGAGAUACGGACCAGACUCCUACGGGAGGCAGCAGUGGGGAAUAUGGCACAAUGGGCGGAAGCCUGAUGCAGCAACGCCGCGUGCGGGAUGACGGCCUUCGGGUUGUAAACCGCUUUCGCCUGUGACGAAGCGUGAGUGACGGUAAUGGGUAAAGAAGCACCGGCUAACUACGUG
rnacentral:rRNA from 1 species